AUUGAACGCUGGCGGCAGGCCUAACACAUGCAAGUCGAACGAGUGGCGGACGGGUGAGUAAUGUCUGGGAAACUGCCUGAUGGAGGGGGAUAACUUCUGGAAACGGUAGCUAAUCCCGCAUACCAUCAGAUGUGCCCAGAUGGGAUUAGCUUGUUGGUGGGGUAACGGCUCACCAGGGCGACGAUCCCUAGCUGGUCUGCGAGGAUGACGAGCCACACUGGAACUGAGACACGGGCGAGACUCCUAAGGGAGGUAGCAGUGGAGAAUAUUGCACAAUGGGCGCAAGCCUGAUGAAGCCAUGCCGCGUGUAUGAAGAAGGGCUUCGGGUUGUAAAGUACUUUCAGCGGGGAGGCGUUACCCGCAGAAGAAGCACCGGCUAACUCCGUGCCAGCAGCCGCGGUAAUAC
rnacentral:rRNA from 1 species